rnacentral:lncRNA from 1 species
AGAAGAACCAGGGAGAACAAGAAUCAGCAAGCACAAAUCGAAGGAGUCAAGUCACAAACUAGUAGCAUCCGGAUUCUCAUAUUCCAUACUUCACACAUGAACCGUACAGAUCAAUUUGUUUUGGAUCUUAAUUUCUACAUCAUCAGGUGACCAUAUUCCAAUUUUUCUUGUUCCUACGCAGCAAUCGAUACUAACCUGCUGGGCAAUGGCAUCGUAACGAUGGCCAGCGCAACUAUAGCCUUCGGUCUUCGCAGUAAGCUGCCAGCGGCCAUAGAUGCCCCAGACACGGCAGGAGCAUGCAGCGCCCGACAUGCACCCCUCGCCUCCGGAGGGGCUAUGCGAAAGGCAAGCGCGGCGCGCGAUCCCGCGCUCCCCGACGCGGCUCCUUCAGCACGCGGGCGACAUGACGCCAUCCGGCGCGAUGCAGCAAGCAUGAACUCGGCGUUGAUCAGGCCCGCGGGACCGCCCUCCGGCGCACAGAGCAAAGUCUAGCCUGUACGCCGACGGUUUUUGAUCGAAACGUUGUGGCCGCAACUUCCGGCACAGCUCCUAGCGCCAUGCACAGAUCCUCCCGGCGGAAAUGGCUAGAAAAAUUCCCUACGGGAUGUAACCGCACUCGAAAGGUUAACCGCACUUGGGGAUUCUUAUCCAUUGGGUUAUUUAUUGAUUUAGCCCUCUGGCUUGCAGUAUUUUACAGUCAAAU